rnacentral:rRNA from 1 species
AUUGAACGCUGGCGGCAUGCCUUACACAUGCAAGUCGAACGGCAGCACGGGUGCUUGCACCUGGUGGCGAGUGGCGAACGGGUGAGUAAUACAUCGGAACAUGUCCUGUAGUGGGGGAUAGCCCGGCGAAAGCCGGAUUAAUACCGCAUACGAUCUACGGAUGAAAGCGGGGGACCUUCGGGCCUCGCGCUAUAGGGUUGGCCGAUGGCUGAUUAGCUAGUUGGUGGGGUAAAGGCCUACCAAGGCGGCGAUCAGUAGCUGGUCUGAGAGGACGACCAGCCACACUGGGAGUGAGACACGGCCCAGGCUCCUACGGGAGGCAGCAGUGGGGAAUUUUGGGCAAUGGGGGAAAGCCUGGUCCAGCAAUGGCGAGUGUGUUGAGGAAGCCUUCGGGUUGUAAAGCCCUUUUGUCCGGAAAGAAAUCCUUGGGCCUAAUACGGUCGGGGGAUGACGGUACCGGAAGAAUAAGCACCGGCUAACUACGUG